rnacentral:lncRNA from 1 species
UAUGAUGGCAGUUUGUAAGUUCUGAAACAUCUGUAGGAUGUUCUGAGACUUACUGUAGACCUUAUUUUGGGAAGCCUGCAUUUAGAAAAGUCGAAGAGAUAUGCCUACGCUUUUGGUUUCCUUAAACAGAUGUUGAAAUAUCAAAAUUUCAUUUUAGAACAAUUUGCUUUUCGCCUUGGAAUACAUUAAAUUUAUGAGUUUUUAUUAAUCCAGAAACUAAUUGGAAUAAUUAAAAAAAAUUAUAAAUGGUUGUACAUUACUUUUUAUAAAUUUAAGCACUUGUUUAAGAUAAGUUGGGCGAUAAUUUUGCUAUACCUUUUUAAAGCGUAACGAUAGACAUUAAUGAUCUGUAUAGGAAGCUGCAUCAUCAAGAAACCUUCACAGCCAAGCCAGCAUUCUUGUGAAGGUAGGAGAUGGUUUUGCACCUUUCUUGUGGGAAAGAGAUGUCUUUUUAAUUAAUGGUGAGCAUGCUUUCUUGUUUAAUUCUCCAUUCUAUCCCUUAUUUCAGAUUUUUGUCUUUCCUUCAUCUCUGCAACCGGCGCUCCCCAUCCGUCUUCAUUCACUCUCUUUCACGGGCGAUGUUAGGGUUUGCACAAAAAUCUUUGAGCGACAGUCCACAAAAUUGUAGAAUCUUGAAGUUGUCAGCCAGGGGGGAAGAAAGAGCGUCCGUCGCUGAGUUUACGAUGAAGAAGGAAAAAAGAAAAAGAAUCUGAAACGGAAGGU